GACGAACGCUAGCGGCGUGCUUAACACAUGCAAGUCGAACGGAAAGGCCCUGCUUGCAGGGUACUCGAGUGGCGAACGGGUGAGUAACACGUGGGUGAUCUGCCCUGCACUUCGGGAUAAGCCUGGGAAACUGGGUCUAAUACCGGAUAGGAGCCAUUUUUAGUGUGAUGGUUGGAAAGUUUUUUCGGUGUAGGAUGAGCUCGCGGCCUAUCAGCUUGUUGGUGGGGUAAUGGCCUACCAAGGCGGCGACGGGUAGCCGGCCUGAGAGGGUGGACGGCCACAUUGGGACUGAGAUACGGCCCAGACUCCUACGGGAGGCAGCAGUGGGGAAUAUUGCACAAUGGGCGCAAGCCUGAUGCAGCGACGCCGCGUGGGGGAUGACGGCCUUCGGGUUGUAAACUCCUUUCGCUAGGGACGAAGCUUUUUGUGACGGUACCUAGAUAAGAAGCACCGGCUAACUACGUG
rnacentral:rRNA from 1 species